rnacentral:lncRNA from 1 species
UUAUUGGUUAAUAGAGAAUCAAAAUCGAUUUACCAAUGAAUCGCGAAAUGCUAUGGUUCUUACAUAUAAUUUCUGAAUUUAUUCAGAAGUAAUUCGCAAGAUCAUGCACCUCUCUUUCCUAGUUAUAACGGAAAAGGGUAAAGGGUACAGCUGGGUGGUCCAGCCUAUUUUUGAAAUAAACAACUCGCACACACUCCCUUUCCAAAAAAAAAUCAAUACACCAAUGCUCUGACCCGAGUAGCAUGGGGCACGUGGAACCCCG